rnacentral:rRNA from 1 species
AUUGAACGCUGGCGGCAGGCCUAACACAUGCAAGUCGAACGAGUGGCGGACGGGUGAGUAAUGUCUGGGAAACUGCCUGAUGGAGGGGGAUAACUACUGGAAAGGGUAGCUAAUACCGCAUACCACAAGAUGUGCCCAGAUUGGAUGAGCUAGUUGGUGGGGUAACGGCGCAUCUAGACGACGAUCCCUAGCUGGUCUGAGAGGAGGACCAGCCAGACUGGAACUGAGAACCGGUCCAGACGCCUACGGGAGGCAGCAGUGGGGAAUAUGGCACAAUGGGCGAAAGUCUGAUGCAGCCAUGCCGCGUGUAUGAAGAAGGCCUUCGGGUUUUAAAGUACUUUCAGCUGGGAGGCGUUACCUGCAGAAGAAGCACCGGCUAACUCCGUGCCAGCAGCCGCGGUAAUAC